rnacentral:tRNA from 1 species
UGGGAUAGCUCAGUUAGUAGAGCAUGAGACUCUUAAUCUCAGGGUUGUGGAGUCAAGCCCCACAUUGGGCAAAA